AUUGAACGCUGGCGGCAUGCCUUACACAUGCAAGUCGAACGGCAGCGGACCUUCGGGUGCCGGCGAGUGGCGAACGGGUGAGUAAUAUAUCGGAACGUACCUUUCAGUGGGGGAUAACGUAGCGAAAGUUACGCUAAUACCGCAUAUUCUGUGAGCAGGAAAGCAGGGGAUCGCAGGACCUUGCGCUGAUUGGAGCGGCCGAUAUCAGAUUAGCUAGUUGGUGAGGUAAAGGCUCACCAAGGCGACGAUCUGUAGCGGGUCUGAGAGGAUGAUCCGCCACACUGGAACUGAGACACGGUCCAGACUCCUACGAGAGGCAGCAGUGGGGAAUUUGGACAAUGGGCGCAAGCCUGAUCCAGCCAUGCCGCGUGAGUGAAGAAGGCCUCGGUUGUAAAG
rnacentral:rRNA from 1 species